UACAGUUCAUAAUAAAUAAAUAUACAGUACCAGUCAAAAGUUUGGACACACCUUCUCAUUCAAGGGUUUUUCUUAACUUCUACUAUUUUCCACAUUGUGGAAUAAUAGUGAAGACAUUCAAGGCACACUUAACCAGCAUGGCUAUCACAGGAUUCUGCAGCGAUACUCCAUCCCAUCGGGUUUGCACUUAGUGGGACUAUCAAUUUUCUUUCAACAGGACAAUGACCCAACACACCUCCAGGCUGUGUAAGGGCUAUUUGACCAAGAAGGGGAGUAAUGGGGUGCUGCAUCAGAUGACCUGGCCUCCACAAUCACCCAACCUUAACCCAAUUGAGAUGGUUUGGGAAAAGUUGGACUGCAGAGUGAAGGAAAAGCAUCCAACAAGUGCUCAGCAUAUGUGAGAACUCUUUCAAAACUGUUGGAAAAGCAUUCAAGGAUUCCAGUUUUGAAGAGUCACAGACCAUCCAGGGGCACAGGCAUAGCUGCAGAAAGAAUUGGACAGGAAAUGUCUGCCCAAUUGCAAGAAGAGAGGCUGGCUGAGAUGAAGGCUAAAUUGCAAGAGCUGUUCUUUGAUGAAACGGGAGAGGAUCUGGAGCUGGCCAUUUCCUGUCUACCAGGAGUUUUCUUUGACAUGAAGGAGUACUGGAGAGCUACUGUAUCUCAGGGACUAAGGACAACCUUACUGGUGCACCUGCAAGAAUUGCAGCGAUACUCCUGCACCUUACAACACACAACAACUGCCAUUUCACCACUGCAAAAUUCCAUUUAUUUUUGACCAAGUAUGUUUACAUAACAAGAUAAUGCUUUCCACAGCUACACCGUAAUUUAUUCUUUAUUUCGAUCUCAAAUACUCCAUUUGUUUUUAUUGUGAAUUCUCCUUGGUCUUUGUGAUAUCAGUUCAGUACUUUUUCAUAAUGUUUCCUUUACACUGUGCUUCUGUCAUUUUGAGGAAGGUUACAUAGACCACCUUGUAUUCUUAUUUAUGUCCCUAAUAAAGCUAUUUGUCCUGA